AUACUCAGCUGUCAGGGGAGAUACCAUAAUCACGAAAGUGGUUUUCCCAGGGCGAGGCUUAUCCACUGCACUCUGGAUGUGCUGACCCUUGCGAUUUCCCCAAAUGCAGUAAACUCAACUAUAUCAUUGGUGGUAGUGGGGGGCUGCAUUUGCCAUCCCCGC